GACAUAUUAAUUGAAGAAUUUCGCAUUUAACGAUUUGUUUUUCAUAUUUUUCCUUAUCGUUGCUUACUGUUAGAUGUCCCAUAAUAAUUAACGGGUUAAAAAACAAAGGCCAUGCACUUUUUUCAAUAGAUCAAAUCACAAGGUCCUUGAGGUUUGCCAUCUAAUCCCUCUGGUGAGAAAUGCUGUCGUCCAUGUCAUUUUCAAGUGAGGUUUUUAUUUGUUUUUAGGUAGCUGUACGUGUGUGUAAAGAAUGGUGGUUGCGGGGCAGGAGAACCAUUCUUUUAUACAAUACCUUUCCGUUUUUAUUGUCAUAAAUUUUGUUUUCUAAGCUGCUCAAUGUAGCUGAAACAGGAAAUAUUGGAAUUGUAGUGUCAGGACAUUUGUUGCUGGACAAUUAGCCUGUUUGUGGAUACAGGCAUUGCCUAGUGUUCAUCCGUAAAUCAUCUCCGGGAGUCCUAUCAAUGCAGCAGUAUUGUUUUAGUAUAGUUUGACCAGAAUUACCAACUCAUUGUCGAAGCUUUGUACAUUUUACUUUGCAGAACAUUCGAAAUAUCAAAAGGAACAGGUUAGUAAUAGGAACUGAAGUACAUGAUUCCAUAACCAUUAUCAACAGUGAUGAAACCUAGGCGUCGCAACGAACACAAAGUAUGGAGGAUAAUCUCUGGGGCCGAAGUGGACACUGUGCAAUGAGGAUCGCCGUCGAAUAACGCCGAGAAUCUGCAAAAUAACCCAGGAUUUUGAGGAAGGUGGCAUCUCCACUGAAGAGGACCGUUGGACAACAAAAGUUAUCGUCAGGUAGGGCUGGCAACACUACAGAUGAGGAUUACUGGACGUUGGGGAUCACCGCCGGAGUCGCCAAGGAUUGCCAGGUAUUGCUUUAACAAGUUUAAGUGUUCAACCGUGUUUUCUUUAAUGUAUGUAGGAUGGUCCACAUCACCACGAGGUGGGCCACUAGACAACGAGGUUCGCUGUCGGAGCCAUCAAGAAUCGUCGCCCAAAAUUGUCAAGAGGGCCUCUCCACCAUCGAAGAGGAUGCUGGACAUCGAGGAUCGCCGCUGGAGCAACAAGAUCGUCGCAAUGGAUGUCAGCUAUAUGUUUUAUACGUUUAAUUGUCUAAACAUGUUUUUUAAAGUGUAUUUAGGAUAGUCCACAUCACCACCGAAGAGGGCAACUGGACAACGAGGUACGCCGUCGGAGCCAGCAAGAUUUUCGCCCAAAAUUGUUCAGAGGGCGCCAUCAUCGCCGGAGAGGACCACUGGACAACGUGGUUCUCCGUCGGAUCCUACCAGUAUCAUCGCCCAAAAAUUGUCAAGAGGGCUCCACCACCAUCGAAGAGCAUGCUGGACAUCGAUGAUCGCCUUUGUAGCAACGAAAUUGUCGGAGGGCCUCGCCAUCAUCAAAGAGGACGCUGGAGCACUGAUAUCGUCGCCGGGGAUGUUUUAGGUGUAUCAGUUACUCGUUUAAUUGUCGAUUCAUGUUUUUUUUAUGUAUUUAAGAGGGCUUCAUGAUCGCCGAAGAGGAUUAGUAGACAACGUGGUUCGCCGUCGGAGCUACCAGGAUCGUCGCCCAAUAUUGAGGGCGUCAUCAUCGCCGAAGUUGAUCACUGGCCAACGUGGUUCGCCGUAGGAGUGACCAGUAUCGUCGGCCGAAAUCUUUAAGAUGGGCUGCAACAGCAUCGAAGACGAUGCUGGACAUCGAGGAUCGUCGCUGGAGCAACGACAUUGUCGCAAUGGAGGAGGGUUCCGUCGUCGCUAAAGAGAACUACUGGACGUCGUGGAUCGUCGUUGGAGCAACUGGAAUCGCCGCAAAUCCCCGAGAUACACGCCCAUUAGGUCGAUGGGGGAAAAAAGAUGGUAUGGUUGAGUAUUGCCUAUUGGCAUUUUUUUACUUUUUUCCGUGCUAUUCGUGUGUGUGAUAUAAAUGUGUAGCUCUUUAUUUAUUCGUCAUUUAUUCGUUACCGUUAUUCUCCCUUAAACAUUACGGCGUAUGGUUUAACUUUCACUUAGCACAAAAAUUCACUACACCUGUAUAGCACGGUUUGUUUGCUUUUUUGCACCGGGUUGGGAUUAGUGUAUCGGGUAACGUAGUUCUUCUUUCAUUAGUUUCAUGCCAAGUAUUUAGUUGGUGCAGGUUUACUAACACUUACUACUUCUAAAAUAAAAAGUGAAACAAAAUCAAUUCGUUUUUUGUCUGCAUACUCUUUUUUGAGUAUGGUUUGUGGGUUGGCGGGUGAUCGGGUUGCUCACCCCGAUAUCGUAAUUCGAUAACAAUUUGACGGGGCAACAACCCGGCAGUCACAAGCCUGUAAGUAUUAUAUGCCGAAUAACUAACUUUAGUUUCAUCUCCAAUAAUUUUGUCAUACAGGUUUGGCUUGAUAACAAGAUUGAGUCAUAGAGCUGAAGACCUGGCUUUACCAUGCAAUAAAGUUUGCAUGACGCUUUGGAUUCAGCUUCGUGUUAUGGGUUCACCAGUGAACACAUUUAUUUUCAAAAAUAUAUGGAAAUGUAUUUUGGUCUAAUCAAUGUUUUUUUGUUUUUUUUUUCUACAGAGUGGCCAGAAUAACAAAGCUGUCAAAUGAAUUGCUGAUUGGAAUGUGUGACUGAGACAUGGAUUUGAAAAAUAGUAAAAAAAAAAUAAAGAUUGUAAUCCAAUAGGUCAGAAAG